AGCAGCCGCGGUAAUUCCAGCUCCAAUAGCGUAUAUUAAAGUUGUUGCAGUUAAAAAGCUCGUAGUUAAAUUUCGGGAUCAAUGCGUCGGUCGUGCCUUCGGUACGUACUAGCGUCAUUGAUUCCUCCCUUCUGAAGAACCGUGAUGUCAUUAAUUUGGUGUUACGGGGAAUCAGGACUGUUACCUUGAAAAAAUUAGAGUGUUUAAAGCAGGCUAACGCUUGAAUACAUUAGCAUGGAAUAAUGAAAUAGGACGUUCGAACCUAUUUUGUUGGUUUCUAGGAUCGACGUAAUGAUUAAUAGGGAUAGUUGGGGGCAUUAGUAUUCAAUUGUCAGAGGUGAAAUUCUUGGAUUUAUUGAAGACUAACUACUGCGAAAGCAUUUGCCAAGGAUGUUUUCAAUUAAUACAAGAACGAAAGUUAGGGGAUCGAAGACGAUCAGAUACCGUCGUAGUCUUAACCAUAAACUAUGCCGACUAGGGAUCGGAUGAUGUUUAAUUUUUAAUGACUCAUUCGGCGCCU
rnacentral:misc_RNA from 1 species